rnacentral:piRNA from 1 species
UUCUUUUUUCAUUACUUCUUA